CCUCGGGGUCCAUGAAAAGGUCACGCUCCAUGCACUGCUCGAUCUUGUCGAUGUUCUGGCCCGUGUGCUUGGCGUAGAUCUUGUUGAGGCGGUCGCGCAGCUUGAGGAUCUCCUUGGCCUGGAUGGCGAUGUCGGUGGCCUGUCCCUGCGCCCCGCCGGAGGGCUGGUGGAUCAUGACCCUGGCGUUGGGCAGCGCCCGCCUCUCCCCGCGCGCGCCGGCGGCGAGCAGGAGCGACCCCAUGGAGGCGGCCUGGCCGAUGCAGAUGGUGUUGACGGGGCAGCGGAUGUACUGCAUGGUGUCGUAGAUGGCGAGCCCCGCGGUGACGACGCCCCCGGGGGAGUUGAUGUAGAGGCUGAUGGGCUUAAGCGGGUUCUCGGACUCGAGGAAGAGCAGCUGCGCGACGACGAGGGACGCCGUCUCGUCGGCGAUGGGCCCGUGGAUGCAUACGAUCCGCUCCUUGAGCAGGCGGGAGAAGAUGUCGUAGGCCCGCUCCCCGCGGGAGGUGGUCUCGACGACCAUGGGCACGAGGCCGUACUCCCGGACGGAGGAGUAGCCCUCCGGCUCCGGCGGCUGGUAAGGCGCCGAGGAGAAGAAGGCCCGCGGCGGGGCAGCGACGGCGAGCCGGCGCGGCGCGGGCCCGUACGGGCCCGGGCUGGCGGAGUUGGGCCUGGACCUGGGCCUCGGCGCGAAGGCAGGCAGCGGG
rnacentral:lncRNA from 1 species